AGCUCCAAUAGCGUAUAUUAAAGUUGUUGCGGUUAAAAAGCUCGUAGUUGGAUUUCUGCUGAGGACGACCGGUCCGCCCUCUGGGUGAGUAUCUGGCUCGGCCUUGGCAUCUUCUUGGAGAACGUAACUGCACUUGACUGUGUGGUGCGGUAUUCAGGACUUUUACUUUGAGGAAAUUAGAGUGUUUCAAGCAGGCGCAUGCCUUGAAUACAUUAGCAUGGAAUGAUAAGAUAGGACCUCGUCCCUACCUUGUUGGUUUGUAGAGAUGAGGUAAUGAUUAAUAGGGAUAGUCGGGGGGGCAUUCGUACUUAACUGUCAGAGA
rnacentral:rRNA from 1 species